rnacentral:rRNA from 1 species
GACGAACGCUGGCGGCGUGCUUAACACAUGCAAGUCGAACGGAAAGGCCCUGCUUGCAGGGUACUCGAGUGGCGAACGGGUGAGUAACACGUGGGUGAUCUGCCCUGCACUUCGGGAUAAGCCUGGGAAACUGGGUCUAAUACCGGAUAGGAGCCAUUUUUAGUGUGAUGGUUGGAAAGUUUUUUCGGUGUAGGAUGAGCUCGCGGCCUAUCAGCUUGUUGGUGGGGUAAUGGCCUACCAAGGCGGCGACGGGUAGCCGGCCUGAGAGGGUGGACGGCCACAUUGGGACUGAGAGACGGCCCAGACUCCUACGGGAGGCAGCAGGGGGGAAUAUUGCACAAGGGGCGCAAGCCGGAUGCAGCGACGCCGCGUGGGGGAUGACGGCCUUCGGGUUGUAAACUCCUUUCGCUAGGGACGAAGCUUUUUGUGACGGUACCUAGAUAAGAAGCACCGGCUAACUACGUG